rnacentral:rRNA from 1 species
UACAGAGGUCUCAAGCGUUGUUCGGAUUCAUUGGGCGUAAAGGGUGCGUAGGCGGCGUGGUAAGUCGGAUGUGAAAUCUCGGAGCUUAACUCCGAAACUGCAUUCGAUACUGCCGUGCUUGAGGACUGGAGAGGAGACUGGAAUUUACGGUGUAGCGGUGAAAUGCGUAGAUAUCGUAAGGAAGACCAGUGGCGAAGGCGGGUCUCUGGACAGUUCCUGACACUGAGACACGAAGGCCAGGGGAGCAAACGGG